AUAGCACUAAAUUCAACUCAAUUCAACUAUACAAACAUCUCAUAUUUUUAGUCUCUGUCAGAAAGUGCCUUUGUAUAAUGUAAUAAUCACAGCUCUCAAAAUACCAAUAUCAAGAUUUCAAACAUCAAUCGAGAAAUCGAUCGAACUUCCACACACUGUAUUAAAGUAACUAUAACAUAAAGAAAUGAAUGGUUACCGCAGCAUAAGGAGGGUGAUCUGGGGUUUGGGACUGGGACAGCAAUUGACUCAUGCGGUCUUGGAGAAUGCUCUUGCUGGCUGCCGUUAAUGGUGCAUUUGGAUGAGUUUCUGCGAGUUUCACUAUAACUUCUUGGAACUUCGCCAUGGCUCUCUGUUGAAUAUGAUUUGAGGGAUUUUGAAGGGUUUUAUUCAGGUUCAGAGAUACAGACUAAUAAUUAUACCAUGUCAAGAUUUC
rnacentral:lncRNA from 1 species